AUUGAACGCUGGCGGCAUGCUUUACACAUGCAAGUCGAACGGUAACAGGGAGCUUGCUCCGCUGACGAGUGGCGAACGGGUGAGUAAUGCAUCGGAACGUACCCAGUCGUGGGGGAUAACGUAGCGAAAGUUACGCUAAUACCGCAUACGUCCUGAGGGAGAAAGCGGGGGACCGUAAGGCCUCGCGCGAUUGGAGCGGCCGAUGUCGGAUUAGCUAGUUGGUAGGGUAAAGGCCUACCAAGGCGACGAUCCGUAGCGGGUCUGAGAGGAUGAUCCGCCACACUGGGACUGAGACACGGCCCAGACUCCUACGGGAGGCAGCAGUGGGGAAUUUUGGACAAUGGGCGAAAGCCUGAUCCAGCCAUGCCGCGUGAGUGAAGAAGGCCUCGGUUGUAAGACUCUUCUAGCCGGAAGAAAUACGCGCAGGAUAAUAACUCUGCGUGGAUGACGGUACCGGAAGAAGAAGCACCGGCUAACUACGUGCCAGCAGCCGCGGUAAACGUAA
rnacentral:rRNA from 1 species